UGGCGACCGGCGCACGGGUGAGUAACGCGUAUGCAACCUGCCCGAUACCGGGGUAUAGCCCAUGGAAACGUGGAUUAACACCCCAUAGUACUUUUAUCCUGCAUGGGAUGUGAGUUAAAUGUUCAAGGUAUCGGAUGGGCAUGCGUCCUAUUAGUUAGUUGGCGGGGUAACAGCCCACCAAGACGAUGAUAGGUAGGGUUCUGAGAGGAAGGUCCCCCACAUUGGAACUGAGACACGGUCCAA
rnacentral:rRNA from 1 species